AGUAGUGGUAAAUGACAAAAAUUAUUUUCUUAUUAUCUAGGGUAUAUUUGUUCAGCUAGUCCAGGCUAAUUCUCCAGCCUCAUUGGUUGGUCUGAGAUUUGGGGACCAAGUACUUCAGAUCAAUGGUGAAAACUGUGCAGGAUGGAGCUCUGAUAAAGCGCACAAGGUGCUCAAACAGGCUUUUGGAGAGAAGAUUACCAUGACCAUUCGUGACAGGCCCUUUGAACGGACGAUUACCAUGCAUAAGGAUAGCACUGGACAUGUUGGUUUUAUUUUUAAAAAUGGAAAAAUAACAUCCAUAGUGAAAGAUAGCUCUGCAGCCAGAAAUGGUCUUCUCACGGAACAUAACAUCUGUGAAAUCAAUGGACAGAAUGUCAUUGGAUUGAAGGUAAGGAACAAACUUUGUGCCAUGUUCUGCUGCAGUUUUAGAAAAUGUCUGUCUUUUGACUAUAUUUAGGUGGCGCUGUUUUCAUAUUGACUUAGGUGGGAGAUGGGGAACGUGGGGCCUGAACUCUUACUCUGGCCAGUCACCGGAAUUAUUUG
rnacentral:sRNA from 1 species